GACGAACGCUGGCGGCGUGCUUAACACAUGCAAGUCGAACGGAAAGGCCCUGCUUUUGUGGGGUGCUCGAGGGGCGAACGGGUGAGUAACACGUGAGUAACCGGCCCUUGACUUUGGGAUAAGUUAAGGAAGCGGGGCUUAUACCCGUACAGGACACCCGCUGCAAGGGGGGGGGUGGGAAGUUUUCGGCGGUGGGGGCUGGACUGGCGGCUUACCGGCUUGUGGGUGGGGUGGGGGCUUGCAAAGGCUUGGACGGGUAGCUGGCCGGGGAGGGGGACCGGCCACCUUGGGACUGCGAUACGGCCCAGACUCCUACGGGAGGCAGCGGUGGGAAAUAUUGCCCAGUGGGCGGAAGCCUGAUGCAGCAACGCCGCGUGCGGGAUGACGGCCUUCGGGUUGUAAACCGCUUUCGCCUGUGACGAAGCGUGAGUGACGGUAAUGGGUAAAGAAGCACCGGCUAACUACGUG
rnacentral:rRNA from 1 species